AGAGUUUGAUCCUGGCUCAGGACGAACGCUGGCGGCGUGCCUAAUACAUGCAAGUCGAGCGAAGUGGAGAGAGCUUGCUCUCAAAGCUUAGCGGCGAACGGGUGAGUAACACGUGGGCAACCUGCCUGACAGACCGGGAUAACUUGGGGAAACUCAAGCUAAUACCGGAUAGUAUCUCGAAUCGCAUGGUUUGAGAUGGAAAGUCUGAACGACACUGUCAGAUGGGCCCGCGGCGCAUUAGCUAGUUGGUGGGGUAAUGGCCUACCAAGGCGACGAUGCGUAGCCGACCUGAGAGGGUGACCGGCCACACUGGGACUGAGACACGGCCCAGACUCCUACGGGAGGCAGCAGUAGGGAAUCUUCCACAAUGGACGAAAGUCUGAUGGAGCAACGCCGCGUGAGUGAUGAAGGUUUUCGGAUCGUAAAACUCUGUUGUUAGGGAAGAACACCCGGGAGAGGAUCCCGGAUUGACGGUACCUAACGAGAAAGCCCCGGCUAACUACGUGCCAGCAGCCGCGGUAAUACGUAGGGGGCAAGCGUUGUCCGGAUUUAUUGGGCGUAAAGCGCGCGCAGGCGGCUUACUAAGUCUGAUGUGAAAUCCCACGGCUCAACCGUGGAGGGCCAUUGGAAACUGGUAAGCUUGAGUGUAGGAGAGGAGAGCGGAAUUCCUGGUGUAGCGGUGAAAUGCGUAGAUAUCAGGAGGAACACCCGUGGCGAAGGCGGCUCUCUGGCCUAUAACUGACGCUGAGGCGCGAAAGCGUGGGGAGCAAACAGGAUUAGAUACCCCAGUAGUCC
rnacentral:rRNA from 1 species